GAUGAACGCUGGCGGCGUGCCUAAUACAUGCAAGUCGAGCGAACAGACGAGGAGCUUGCUCCUCUGACGUUAGAGGCGGACGGGUGAGUAACACGUGGAUAACAUACCUAUAAGACUGGGAUAACUUCGGGAAACAGGAGCUAAUACCGGAUAAUAUAUUGAACCGCAUGGUUCAAUAGUGAAAGACGGUUUUGCUGUCACUUAUAGAUGGAUCCGCGCCGCAUUAGCUAGUUGGUAAGGUAGCGGCUUACCAAGGCGACGAUGCGUAGCCGACCUGAGAGGGUGAUCGGCCACACGGCAACUGAGACACGGUCCAGACUCCUACGGGAGGCAGCAGUAGGGAAUCUUCCGCAAUGGGCGAUAGCCUGACUGAGCAACGCCGCGUGAGUGAUGAAGGUCUUCGGAUCGUAAAACUCUGUUAUUAGGGAAUAACAAAUGUGUAAGUAACUAUGCGCGUCUUGACGGUACCUAAUCAGAAAGCCACGCCUAACUACUU
rnacentral:rRNA from 1 species